UACGCUUUCUGAACUUUGUUAUUCAAGCCCUAAAUUGUUUUCAGUGAUUUGUCAAAGUUCUUAAAAUGUUAUCCAACCUUUUAUUCCUAAAAUUAAGUGUGACAGCAAUUCUGUGCAUAUAUAUGAUGUUACCAUUGAUUCUUUUUCUCGCCCCUCAAGACGAGGGGCGCCCAUUUUAUCAAAAAUUAAUGGCCUUUUUGAUCAUUUCUUUGUGGCCAAUAUUUACUUUUGUUUCGAUAGUCACCAUAUUAUUGUCACAACGAUAUCCGAAAUUAACUCUCGCAAGUGCUGUUGUUUGGCUAGUAAUAUCCCAUUUAACUCUCAUGUUUUUACUUCUUAACUGUGGAUUCGUGAAUGCUGUGCAUUGGUACGAUUUUCCGGACUUGUCUUUCAAACUCUUGAAAAACUGCAAACUAUCCUUAUUCAAGUAUCCUGAAAUGGGAUGGAUUCUUUUCGGCGAAAUAUAUGCUUGGCUAACUUUCACUUUAAUAAUAAUAUAUCAUAUAGCAUGGCCUCUCCUAUCGCCAGCUAAGGAAUAGCCAGGAUCGUCCUAUUGUUUUUCCUGUUGUGAGAAAUUAAAUUCAUAUAAAAUAUUUUAUUAUUCAUUGCCAUGUUUAAAAUCCAUCCGAACUCAUCAAGAUCGACAUCCAAAACUGGUGAGGCCAUUUAGAUUUCUGAUAUGCAUACCAUAAGCUAUUUGGAGCGAGAAACUAAACCAGUAAAAAUCUUUGAUCUGGCUGACAUAGCAUUCUUUGGAGCAUGCAACUUUUGUGGCUUGGCAGGAAUUUCUUUGUUACUGGGAGCUAUUGUGUUUCAUAGUGCAUUAAUAUGGAUAGCCGUGGGAAUACUUUUUUCUGUAACCAUUAUAGUUGGAAUAUACGUGUUUAUUUUGACAAUAACACAUUGGGAUGCGCAUAAUAUCCUGUUGGAUUUUGCGUAUAUCCUUACAGCUAUUUUAUUGACGGGAUCUCUCGUAUUUAUUACUGUAUCACUGUAUUUCUUUGGAAGUGAUAUGAAACAUGAAGAGGCCUCCCGUGACUGGAGAACACCAAAUUGUAAAGGUAAACGAGUGUUUAGGUGGUUUCAUGUAAGAGGAGUAUGGCGGUUGUUUAGAAGGAGG
rnacentral:misc_RNA from 1 species